GGGGAUUUAGCUCAGCGGCAUAAGCGCCUGCCUUGCAAGCAGGCAGUCGGGGAGUUCGAUCCCCA
rnacentral:tRNA from 1 species